rnacentral:tRNA from 8 species
GUCCCCAUCGUCUAGAGGCCUAGGACACCGCCCUUUCACGGCGAUAACCGGGGUUCGACUCCCCGUGGGGACGCCA